AUCAAAGGUAUCACCACGCUCUACACAAAACACUCUACACAAAGCAUAUAGCAAUCGAUCAAAACGUGACACUCGAAUUUUCGAGGUACCUACUAUGGCAGUGCUGAAACUGAUGGAACUCGAGCUCUUCUUCCUCAAACAGAUGCACUAUAUGCUUAUGGAAAUGAGACGCACCGCUUAGAUUCAACUGAUUUCGCUUUUAGUGCUCAAACUCUUCAAUUCACCAUGGAUGAU
rnacentral:lncRNA from 1 species